rnacentral:rRNA from 1 species
UACAGAGGUCCCAAGCGUUGUUCGGAUUCAUUGGGCGUAAAGGGUGCGUAGGCGGCGCGGUAAGUCGGGUGUGAAAUCUCGGGGCCUAACUCCGAAACUGCAUUCGAUACUGCCGUGCUUGAGGACUGGAGAGGAGACUGGAAUUUACGGUGUAGCGGUGAAAUGCGUAGAUAUCGUAAGGAAGACCAGUGGCGAAGGCGGGUCUCUGGACAGUUCCUGACGCUGAGGCACGAAGGCCAGGGGAGCAAACGGG